rnacentral:rRNA from 1 species
GACAGAGGAGCCAAGCGUUGUCCGGAUUGACUGGGCGUAAAGCGCACGCAGGCGGUCGUGCACGUGGGGUGUGAAAACUGGCGGCUUAACUGCCAGAGGCCACCUCAUACGGCGCGACUCGAGCCCUGCAGAGGUCCAUGGAAUUGCCGGUGUAGCGGUGAAAUGCGCAGAUAUCGGGAGGAACACCGGUGGCGAAGGCGGUUCUCUGGGCCUUACCUGACGCUGAGGAGCGAAAGCGUGGGGAGCGAACAGG